rnacentral:lncRNA from 1 species
GAGUGUGCCUAUGAGGAAGCUUCUAGAUUGGGUUAACUGAGGAGAGAAGACCACACACACACACACACACACACACACACACACACACACACACACACACACUACAGAAGCUCCACUGCAUGGGUCGGAAUGCCCAGGACAUAAAAAGGCAAAAAAACAAUGAGCAGAGCAUUCGCAUUCAUCGCUCUUGGCUUCCUGACGGCGCUAAGCCACCAACUACUUUAAGCUCCUAUUGCCAUUGCCUUCUUCACCACUAAGAACCAACCUCUUAAAUGGGACCACAGCAGCACCAGCUCCGGGUUAUCAGCAGCAGCACAAGGACCAAGCCCAGAAGCCACGAACCCCUCCUGCUCUGCAUCAGGUGGCAAGAUGGUCAGGAUAAGCACAUGGAAUCUAGCCCAAAGUCGUCUGGCCGUGGGUCAGUCUGGGCCUAGAGGACCCAGGAGUCCAGACACCUGGAGUUUGGAGAGGUAAGCCACUUGGUGGCGCUGUGAGCAUGAAAAGCGGGCUCUGUAGCCAAUAAGCCUUUUGCAAGACUGGAGGUGUGACUUGGAGACUGUCUAAGGGGCAAUGUAAAAAGCUCAGCCUACAUCCGGACCCCGGCUGGAAACAAAUACGGACAUAGAGAGGUCCUGCGAGACACCAGGAGGCAGACAAGGCAGGGAUGACGACUGUCUGUCUUGUGACCAGGAAACGGGGUUAUGAGACCUAUUCAGCUUUCUUUGACUCCGCGCUGUUUGGUUAGGAAAGGGCAUAUGUGUGCAGAGAACAAACAAUACAGGGGAAGGGAGUCUACAGAGAGCUGCUGAACUCUAGCUGCCCCCAACAGACCUCCGGUAAAGGAAAAGGAAGACGCGAAAAGUGACCCACAGCUGGGAAACCUACAGGUCAAAACUCGGAGUAGGGCCUGGGGCAGGAUGGGGGUGGAGGUGGAGGUGGGAGUGGAACACACCUUAAAAUCCCAGCACUAGGAAGGCAGAGGCAGUCUGAUCUUCAUGAGUUCAAGUCUAUCCUAGGCCAUAGGGCAAGUUCCAGAACAGCCAGAGCUACACAGAGAAACCCAGUCUUGAAACAAACAAACAAACAAAUAACAACAACAACAACAAUAAAAUAGAGCCUGUUAGGAAGGGCUGAGGACAAGGCCUUGAUUGAGCAUAGCUGUUCUCCAACUUCUCAGAACCCCGUGCCUGAUAACUGUGUCAUAGUAGGGUGACAAUGAAUGACAAUAAUAGACCAUAGGUUUCAAAAAGGUGAGAAACAAGGUUACACAGGGUCUCUCUGUGUAGCCUUGGAACUCACUAUGUACACCCAGGCUGGCCUCAAACUCAGAGACUGCUUCCGCCUCCCGAGCUCUGAGAUUAGAGGUGUGCACCACCACACCCUGCCUAAGGGCUGGAGUUAGGUCCCUUGCCCAGCACUGAAGAGUUGUCAAGCCCCAGUCAGAUGGCUCUCAGCCAUCUGCAACUCCAACGCCAGGGGUAUCUGAUGCCCCCUUCUGGCCUCCUUGGGAACUGCAUUCACAGAGCAGCAUAAAAUAUAUUUAAAAAUUGGUAUCUCUGAGAGAGAGAGAGAGAUGGAGUUUGGUCGAGUGGGUGGGUAGGUAGCUGGCCAGGGACACCCAGGGAAUCUUAUCUCCACCUUCCCGGACUGGGGUUACAAUCACCACCAUCACACUCAGCUUUUCCACUUGAGUCCUGGGGAUCAAACUCAAAUCUUCAUGUCUAUGCAACAUCCUCACUUCACCUACUGAACUAUCUCCGCAGCCCUAGUUAAAAUUAUUAACUGGUACAUAAAGGCAUACAAUUGUGCAUGUUAAG